rnacentral:rRNA from 1 species
GAUGACGAGUGGCGGACGGGUGAGUAAUGCUUGGGAACUUGCCUUUAGGAGGGGGAUAACAGUUGGAAACGACUGCUAAUACCGCAUAAUGUCUACGGACCAAAGGGGGCUUCGGCUCUCACCUAAAGAGAGGCCCAAGUGAGAUUAGCUAGUUGGUAAGGUAAAAGCUUACCAAGGCGACGAUCUCUAGCUGUUCUGAGAGGAAGAUCAGCCACACUGGGACUGAGACACGGCCCAGACUCCUACGGGAGGCAGCAGUGGGGAAUAUUGCACAAUGGGGGAAACCCUGAUGCAGCCAUGCCGCGUGUGUGAAGAAGGCCUUCGGGUUGUAAAGCACUUUCAGUUGUGAGGAAAGGUUGGUAGUUAAUACCUGCCAGCUGUGACGUUAACAACAGAAGAAGCACCGGCUAACUCCGUGCCAGCAGCCGCGGUAAUACGGAGGGUGCGAGCGUUAAUCGGAAUUACUGGGCGUAAAGCGCACGCAGGCGGUUUGUUAAGCUAGAUGUGAAAGCCCCGGGCUCAACCUGGGAUGGUCAUUUAGAACUGGCAGACUAGAGUCUUGGAGAGGGGAGUGGAAUUCCAGGUGUAGCGGUGAAAUGCGUAGAUAUCUGGAGGAACAUCAGUGGCGAAGGCGGCUCCCUGGCCAAAGACUGACGCUCAUGUGCGAAAGUGUGGGUAGCGAACAGGAUUAGAUACCCUGGGUAGUCCACACCGUAAACGCUGUCUACUAGCUGUUUGUGAAUUUAAUUCGUGAGUAGCGAAGCUAACGCGAUAAGUAGACCGCCUGGGGAGUACGGCCGCAAGG